CAUUAAGCUGCUGCUGUGCUCCAGAUGUGCUAAUGCACAAACAUCAAAAACACAGCAGUCAGAGUGCUGCCAUGGGAUUUAACAGCACAUUAUGUUUUAUUUCGUUAUUUGUUUUCAUCUUUGUAGGCUCGUUCGUCUACAUUUCAGCACGACCACUGUUUUACUACACUGGCAACAACAGAAACAUUUCCAUGGGUUGCAAUGAAGGGACGAUAGGUGCAGAGAAUAAGCUCACUAUUAAAGAGGAUACUGCAGUAAAUGUCUCUCUGGGUGACAUCAGCAACAUUCAUGUCUCUGGAACGAACCGAGGAUGCAUUGGAGGAAGGAACGACUACUCUGUGACAGGACGAAUCCCAGCCAAGUCCAAUAUUGGCAACGUGCGUAAUGUUACUGUUGGUAACAACUCGGGAUCAAUUGGUUCAGGGAACCGCAUUAACAUUAGCUGAGGAAACUGCUCUCAGACAGAUCAUGAUCCACUUGGCCACAAAUGACGUAUGAUAAUGGAAAUAUGUUAAAACAUGAUGACAACAAAUGACAAGACUGAUGCUUGGAAAUCAGGAAAGAUAAAAAAAAUCAUGUGCUAUAAUAUUAAAGAAAAGCAAAUGAAAAUAAAGUCAAUAUGCAGCAUGAAA